rnacentral:rRNA from 1 species
AUUGAACGCUGGCGGCAGGCUUAACACAUGCAAGUCGAGCGGGGACUUCGGUCCUAGCGGCGAACGCGUGAGGAAUGCUUGGGAAUCUGCCCAGUAGUGGGGAAUAACGUGUCGAAAGGAACGCUAAUACCGCAUACGUCCUACGGGAGAAUGGCGGGGAUCUUCCGACCUCUCGCUAUUGGAUGAGCCCAAGUCGGAUUAGCUAGUUUGUGAGGUAAAGGCUCACCAAGGAGACGUUCCGUAGCUGGUCCGAGAGUAUGAUCAGCCACACUGGAACUGCGACACGGCCAAGACUCCUACGGGAGGAAGCAGUGUGGAAUAUUCGACAAUGGGCGUAAGCCUGAUCAAGCAAUGGCGCGUGUGUGAAGAAGGCCUUCGGGUUGUAAAACGCUUUUAGCUAGGAGGAAUGGGUAUUGGUUAAUAACCUUGAGCACGGACCUUACUCGCAGAAUAAGCACCGGCUAACUCUGUGCCAGCCGCCGCCGUAACAC